CACUGCCAAAUAAUUUCUGAUUCUUUGUCAUAAUUUGUUGAUAUUGAUCCCUUGUGGACUUGCGGUUCUUAGGUGAAUAAUUUAAUAUGCAUAGAGACGUUCUCAGAUUUUCCUCAACUUGGAAGGUUCACUCUUCGUACUGAAGGAAAAACAGUUGCAGUGGGAAAGGUUACCAGUCUUUUAUAAGUAUUUAAACAAUUUUUGGCAUAAGAGGCAACCUGAACAGUGGGGCAUAAAUGUUGCAUUUCAUAGCAGCUUGAAGGGGUCCUAUGUUCUAAUCAAAUCUGGUACAUUGCAUUAUACAGCGAGUAGUUUUAUGAACAUUUAAUUUUCAUGGCUGAUGCCCGUGUGUUCUGGGUGGGGCUUUUGGGGCGUUGUUGCUUUGGGUUAUUUUAUGGGUGAUAUUCGACCUGAUUCACGAAUUGCCCAUAUUUUAGCUUCAUAUGAUUAUGAAUAAUGGUUUUGAAUCAGUCUUAUCUGAUUAAUGUUAGUUAAUCUGGUCUGUAUUUUUAAUUUUUGGUGCUUUGAUAUCCCCUUAAAUGGCCCCUCGAAAUUGAUUAUUGGUUUCUAUUUAUGAUUUCGAGUAAUUUAUUAAAUUGAUUUCUGAA